UACGUAGGGUGCGAGCGUUGUCCGGAAUUAUUGGGCGUAAAGAGCUCGUAGGCGGUCUGUCGCGUCUGCUGUGAAAACCCGAGGCUCAACCUCGGGCCUGCAGUGGGUACGGGCAGACUAGAGUGCGGUAGGGGGAGAUUGGAAUUCCUGGUGUAGCGGUGGAAUGCGCAGAUAUCAGGAGGAACACCGAUGGCGAAGGCAGAUCUCUGGGCCGUAACUGACGCUGAGGAGCGAAAGCGUGGGGGAGCGAACAGG
rnacentral:rRNA from 1 species